GUCGUGACACCAGGGAGAGGAUUCUGCUGUGGGUCCCACCCCAAAGUUCGCAAAAUAGGUGGUGGGCACAGAAUCCAGACUCUGCUUGUGGC
rnacentral:pre_miRNA from 12 species